rnacentral:rRNA from 1 species
ACUCAAAGGAAUUGACGGGGACCCGCACAAGCGGUGGAGCAUGUGGUUUAAUUCGACGCAACGCGAAGAACCUUACCUGGGCUAGAAUGUGAGGGAAGACCGCGCAAAACGUGGUCGUCUCGGGUAAAACCGAGACCCAAAACAAGGUGCUGCACGGCUGUCGUCAGCUCGUGUCGUGAGAUGUUGGGUUAAGUCCCGCAACGAGCGCAACCCCUACUGCUAGUUGCUAACAGGUAAAGCUGAGCACUCUAGUAGAACCGCUGAUGAUAAAUUGGAGGAAGGUGGGGAUGACGUCAAGUCAUCAUGGCCUUUAUGCCCAGGGCUACACACGUGCUACAAUGGUUGGUACAAAGAGAAGCGAGACCGCGAGGUGGAGCCAAUCUCAAAAAGCCAACCUCAGUUCGGAUUGUAGUCUGCAACUCGACUACAUGAAGUUGGAAUCGCUAGUAAUCGCGGAUCAGCACGCCGCGGUGAAUACGUUCCCGGGUCUUGUACACACCGCCCGU